ACCCGCCCCUAAUAGGGGCGACACUCCGCCAUGAAUCACUCCCCUGUGAGGAACUACUGUCUUCACGCAGAAAGCGUCUAGCCAUGGCGUUAGUAUGAGUGUCGUACAGCCUCCAGGCCCCCCCCUCCCGGGAGAGCCAUAGUGGUCUGCGGAACCGGUGAGUACACCGGAAUUGCCGGGAAGACUGGGUCCUUUCUUGGAUAAACCCACUCUAUGCCCGGCCAUUUGGGCGUGCCCCCGCAAGACUGCUAGCCGAGUAGCGUUGGGUUGCGAAAGGCCUUGUGGUACUGCCUGAUAGGGUGCUUGCGAGUGCCCCGGGAGGUCUCGUAGACCGUGCACCAUGAGCACAACUCCUAAACCUCA
rnacentral:other from 12 species